rnacentral:lncRNA from 1 species
GCUGGUCACACGCAGUCAGCUCUGGCGGGUGCAUUUGCACCACGAGAAGUGAGUUGUUAAACAUUUACCAGCACACACGCUGCAGGGGACCUAAGGAGAGUGAUGGCACUGGAAAGAGGAAUGCUCCUGCUUCUAAUCCUCCUUGAUAGAGGCGCUCCCCUUUUGUUUUUGAAGAAUUUAUAGAAGCUUUUCCACCGGGGAGCUUCAGCUAGGUCUUCUCAUCAGUGCUGUGUGCCAGACAAGCCAGAUGAUCAAGGAAGUACCUACACUUUGGACACUGUCAGUUUGCCUGGGGACUGAGAGCUUACAGUCCAAGCUUGCUUCAACUCUGGCUGAGGCCAACAGAGAGAGCCCAAAGACAACUGAAGGAGCGGCAGAAAACAAAUAUGGGAACGGGGCUUAAUCCCAUCGGGACUAAGGGAGGAGCCUUCCCUUCCAGCCUCACACAGGCAGACUAUCUCAAAAGAAAGAGAAAGCAAUUUUCCCUUGCAUGCUGGCUGUUUCACUUCCUUCUACUUUUAGGAAAUGAGAAACUCUCUGUGCCUAAGAAACCUCUUCACCAAAGAUCUUCACAUCCCAAACCUUGGUCCAUGUCCUCAAGGAUAUCAUGGAGUCCAAGAUGGGUCAAGUGAGACUGAAACGGAUUUUAGAGACCAGUGUUCUCCCACAGGCAUGGAGCUGAUGAGGAGACACAGUGUCCCUAAAGGCAGGCACUUCACUGUCCUCAGGGUGGGGAGGACCAGCGGUCUCGGUUUUCCUCACUUGCCCCCAGGGCUGCUCCUCCCAGCUCUGCUCCAGCCCCUGACACUCCUACCUUCUGUUUAGUUCUCCCAGACCUGAAACAGGAGGCUAUCGCUAGUGCUGAAUGAUUAAAUAAGUGCAUCUGCUCUAUGUGACAGCCAGACUGUGGGUGUGUGCUUGUAUAUUGCUGUGAAGAGAGGUUUCCUAUAUCAUGAGGACACUCUUUCGCUGU